CAGUCGCCGCGGGAAUACGAAGGGUGCAAGCGUUAAUCGGAAUUACUGGGCGUAAAGCGCGCGUAGGUGGUUCGCCAAGUUGGAUGUGAAAUCCCCGGGCUCAACCUGGGAACUGCAUCCAAAACUGGCGAGCUAGAGUAUGGUAGAGGGUGGUGGAAUUUCCUGUGUAGCGGUGAAAUGCGUAGAUAUAGAAAGGAACAUCAGUGGCGAAGGCGACCACCUGGACUGAUACUGACACUGAGGUGCGAAAGCGUGGGGAGCAAACAGGAUUAGAUACCCGAGUAGUCCCUGUCUCUUAUAC
rnacentral:rRNA from 1 species